rnacentral:rRNA from 1 species
GACGAACGCUGGCGGCGUGCCUAAUACAUGCAAGUCGAGCGCUUCUUUCCUCCCGAGUGCUUGCACUCAAUUGGAAAGAGGAGUGGCGGACGGGUGAGUAACACGUGGGUAACCUACCCAUCAGAGGGGGAUAACACUUGGAAACAGGUGCUAAUACCGCAUAACAGUUUAUGCCGCAUGGCAUAAGAGUGAAAGGCGCUUUCGGGGGCCGCUGAUGGAUGGACCCGCGGUGCAUUAGCUAGUUGGUGAGGUAACGGCUCACCAAGGCCACGAUGCAUAGCCGACCUGAGAGGGUGAUCGGCCACACUGGGACUGAGACACGGCCCAGACUCCUACGGGAGGCAGCAGUAGGGAAUCUUCGGCAAAGGACGAAAGUCUGACCGAGCAACGCCGCGUGAGUGAAGAAGGUUUUCGGAUCGUAAAACUCUGUUGUUAGAGAAGAACAAGGACGUUAGUAACUGAACGUCCCCUGACGGUAUCUAACCAGAAAGCCACGGCUAACUACGUG